rnacentral:rRNA from 1 species
GACGAACGCUGGCGGCGUGCUUAACACAUGCAAGUCGAGCGGAAAGGCCCCUUUGGGGGUACUCGAGCGGCGAACGGGUGAGUAUCACGUGAGUAAUCUGCCCUUCACUUCGGGAUAGCUUCGGGAAACCGAGAUUAAUACCGGAUAUGACCACUCCAGGCAUCUGGUGGUGGUGGAAAGAUUUUUUGGUGGGGGAUGUGCUCGCGGCCUAUCAGCUUGUUGGUGGGGUAAUGGCCUACCAAGGCUUCGACGGGUAGCCGGCCUGAGAGGGUGACCGGCCACACUGGGACUGAGACACGGCCCAGACUCCUACGGGAGGCAGCAGUGGGGAAUAUUGCACAAUGGGCGAAAGCCUGAUGCAGCAACGCCGCGUGAGGGAUGACGGCCUUCGGGUUGUAAACCUCUUUCAGCAGGGACGAAGCGCAAGUGACGGUACCUGUAGAAGAAGGACCGGCCAACUACGUGCCAGCAGCCGCCGUAACAC